GUGUUUGGAGGGAGGAAAGAGAAGGGAGAAAUGAUAAAAUAAUCUCAAAAUAAAUGAAAAAAGAGCUUCCUCCAGAGGAACACAGAAAUCAUUACCUUGUGUCCUUGAAAAUCUUGGGUAUUUUAUUAUUUUUGCAUGUUUCGUGUAUAUGUAUGUUCAUAUGUGUGUACAUGUGAAGUAGAAUAAGUUUUUUAAAAGACCAAUUGUUAGAUACGGAUGUAUUGAUUUAUUUCAUGAUUUACUUAAAUACUGCUUAUGCUAUCUAGUUAGGAAACAUGACUUCACUUGCUACCUGGAACAGAAUGACCUGGAGAAAUAGCUGAAACGAUAGGUUGUUGCUGACUGUACUAUAUGCUUCUAUAAACUCUUGCUUGCCUGCCCCACCUUGUCAUUUUGGAGUAGAAAAUGAGAAUAGGAAAAGGACCCAGCCUUUCAGGAGGUAUCCUGGCUUUGGUCCACUGGUGACACCUCCCCUCUUCCACUCUCAUUGGUGUUGGAGUGCUUAUUCCAGAAAGAUUCGUGCAACAAAUGUGGUGGCCUGAAGUUCACAUUGGCUGUCUUCCUCCAUUGCUCUUGCUCUCUACUUUAUUUACAGAAGCACAACCUGAGGAUUGAAACUACAGUUCUCCACAUUAGCUAGUCUGGCUUGCCCUGGGAAUCCCAUCUCUGCCUCCCAGGUGUUGAUAAUACAGGCAGCCACCAGGACUGCUCAGCUUUUGCUUGAGGCCUUGGGAUCCACACUGGAAUUCUGAAGCUUACCGACCAAGCGCUUUAUCCAGCCCUGACAGCUUAACUUGUCUCUUCUCUUUCUUUUCUUUUCUGUUGUUUUUUUGCUUUUCUUUUUUGUUGUUUUUUGAGACAAGUUCUCCUUAUGUAGUCUUUUUUGCUUGUUCACUUGUUUGUUUUUAUAUCCCAUUCCAAGUUUCCCCUGCCUCUCCUCUUUCCAGUUCCUCCCCCACCACCUCCCCUCUCCCCCAGCCCCCAAUCCCACUCAAUCCACUCCUCCUCCACUGUUUCUCCUCAAAUAUAGACUGGCCCCCCACGGAUUUCAGCCUGCCAUGAUAUAUCAAGUUGCAGUGGGACUAGGCACCUCCUUUUCUCUUCAGGCUGGAUGAGGCAACCCAGUAGGAGAGAUGGGUCCCAAAAGCACGCAACGCCGUCACAGACCACCUCCUGCUCUCACUUUAGAAAUGUCACAGGAAGAACAAGUCACACAACUGUGACAUAUGCAGAGGGCCUGUGUCAGCCCCAUGCAGGCUCCCUGGUUGUUGGUCCAGUCUCUGUGAGCUCCUGUGAGCUCAGGUCAGUUGAUACUGUGGAUUUUCUUGUGAUGCCCAUGAUACUAUUGGCUCCUACAAUUCUUCCUCCCCCUCUUCCGCAGUAUUUCCUCAUCUGCCCAAUGUUUGGCUGUGGGUUUCUGCUUCUGUUUCCGUCAGUUGCCCAGUGAAGCCUCUCUGAUGACAAUUGAGCUAGCUGACCAAAUACAAAUACAAAUACCUAUUAAUUAGACGUUUGAAAGAUCAAUAAUUUGUUUACAUUUUCUCAUUUUAAGAGGAUUUCUUGAUGACUGUUUUGGUGCGGGGGCUCAUUUACCUUUGUUUUUAAGGCUGGAAGAAAUUAUGCUCCCACCCACCCUUAGCUCCUUCCCCUCUAGCUGACUCCAUGAAGAGACAGCCUAAUUAGGGUUUCACCAGACUCAGGAUGUAUGUGUGUGUAGCCUUCAAGUUCAGUGAGAAUGAAGCAGUGGGAGUCACCAAAGCAUGGCAUUUAGAAAGCUUCCACCCAGGGAUCCGUGGGUAGUAGCUGCCUCUGUCUCUCCUGUGAGUCAUGUCUCUUCGCGCUCUCACUAAAUUCAGUAAGACAGAAAGGGAAGAGUCAGGAGAGGGAAAAAGGCGGUGGAUCAUGCUUAUGACUGAUUAUAAGAAUAAUAUAUUCCUGAAAUCAAGAGGCAGGGUGGGGUACAAAGAAAGGCAUCUGUUCUGCUGAGGAUUUGACUGGUUAGGACCAAGCUGAUGCAGAGACGAAGGCAAAGAUGCAUACAGGUGGUGCCAUCUACAUGCUGAAUUUUGCAGCCUGAAGGGUGCAUCCAUCAUGGAUUCAGUUGUGCUAAGGUUUGGAGGCCUUCUAAAGUCUGAGGGUAUGUUACAAAAGAAAAGAAAAAUCUGACUUAUUUCAAGAGUCAAGUUAGGUAAGGUAUGGUGGUGCACACCUUUAAUCCCAACAUUCAUAGUGCAGAGAGGCAGAUGAAUAUCUGUGAGUUCAAGGUCACGCUGCUCUAUGUGAUGAGUUCCAGGUAAUCAGAGCUGCAUAGUGAGAUUCUAUCUCAAAUAAAUAAAUACAUAUCAGAUUAACCACACUUGAGAAAAAUUCUCAGUUUGACUUGCCACACCCUCAAAAAAUUAUAUUGAACUUGAUAUCGUCUAACUCCCUAAAACCCAAGGUCUGUGAAAUAUAAAUUCUUUACUUUAGAAAUGAACUUCAACACUUUCUUUUCUUAUGUAGGCUCCUUGUACCUCAGUAACUUCAAGAUUUGUUACAAAUUGUAUAGACAGUUGUGUUCAACCUAAAACAUCAAUUAGCCUGGAAAUUAAAGCUCCAAAUUGUAUUACGUGGUUAAGAUGAAUUACUAUUUGUACUUCUGCUAAUUAUUCUCUUUUUUCUUUGUUUUGAGAUGGAGAUCUGGCUUUAUAACUCAAGUGGCUCAUGGUUCUCUAGAGGAACAGAACAAAUGUCCUGAUCAACCUGUCUACUCAGUUUGGGAAUCAUCAGAAGAGGCACAUUUAGUCAAACCAUUGGUACACGCCCACCAAGUCGUCUCGAUGUCAGGGUACCCUCAAGAUGAAAGGUCUGACCUUCAUCACUUUCACCUGGGGACCAGGACCAACCCUGACCAUGAGCAACUGAUGGUUCCUGACAAGAAAGUUCAUCAACAGUGAUGUAGAUGUCAUGUGGAUUCCAGACACUGAAUCAGCAGCUGUGUCAGACCUCUCCUAUGUGUCCCAACAGAAGGUGCCUUAACCAGGCUCACCUCUGGAAGUGACAGACCAGGUGGUGUUGUCUGUGUGCUCAGUUUUGCAGCCAGAAUGAUACUUCCAUCAUGGAGUCAGUUUUGCUAAGGCUCCUAGUACCUGGGUAGCUGUCAAGGUUUGUCACACAUUGGAUACACAGUUAGAUUCAACCUAAAUCAUCAAUUAGCCUAGGCUUGGUUUUAUAGCCAAAGUGGCCUGAGUUUCUUGAGUGACUGAAAAUCUAGGAUACAAGAGACUGUGGAUUCGUUCCAGAUUAAGGCGGAACAGCUUUGACUAGGGGGAGACUUCCUGAAACUUGGCAGGUGAUAUCUAUCAAAGGUUACUGCUGGCCAGGCUGUGGUGGCACACACCUUUAAUCCCAGCACUCGGGAGACAGAGGCAGAUAUAUCUCUGUGAGUUCAAGGCCA